AAUGAACGCUGGCGGCAUGCCUUACACAUGCAAGUCGAACGGCAGCACGGGGGCAACCCUGGUGGCGAGUGGCGAACGGGUGAGUAAAGCAUCGGAACGUGCCCUGGAGUGGGGGGAUAACGUAGCGAAAGUUACGCUAAUACCGCAUAUUCUGUGAGCAGGAAAGCAGGGGAUCGCAAGACCUUGCGCUCUGGGAGCGGCCGAUGUCGGAUUAGCUAGUUGGUGGGGUAAAGGCCUACCAAGGCGACGAUCCGUAGCGGGUCUGAGAGGAUGAUCCGCCACACUGGGACUGAGACACGGCCCAGACUCCUACGGGAGGCAGCAGUGGGGAAUUUUGGACAAUGGGCGAAAGCCUGAUCCAGCCAUGCCGCGUGAGUGAAGAAGGCC
rnacentral:rRNA from 1 species